rnacentral:rRNA from 1 species
UACGUAGGGGGCGAGCGUUGUCCGGAUUUAUUGGGCGGAAAGAGCGUGUAGGCGGCCAGGUAGGUCUGCUGUGAAAACUCGAGGCUCAACCUCGAGACGUCGGCGGAAACCAUCUGGCUAGAGUCCGGAAGAGGAGAGUGGAAUUCCUGGUGUAGCGGUGAAAUGCGCAGAUAUCAGGAAGAACACCUAUGGCGAAGGCAGCUCUCUGGGACGGUACUGACGCUGAGACGCGAAAGCGUGGGGAGCGAACAGG